rnacentral:rRNA from 1 species
UCUAUUGAGUUUGAUCCUGGCUCAGAUUGAACGCUGGCGGCAUGCCUUACACAUGCAAGUCGAACGGCAGCACGGGUGCUUGCACCUGGUGGCGAGUGGCGAACGGGUGAGUAAUACAUCGGAACAUGUCCUGUAGUGGGGGAUAGCCCGGCGAAAGCCGGAUUAAUACCGCAUACGAUCUACGGAUGAAAGCGGGGGACCUUCGGGCCUCGCGCUAUAGGGUUGGCCGAUGGCUGAUUAGCUAGUUGGUGGGGUAAAGGCCUACCAAGGCGACGAUCAGUAGCUGGUCUGAGAGGACGACCAGCCACACUGGGACUGAGACACGGCCCAGACUCCUACGGGAGGCAGCAGUGGGGAAUUUUGGACAAUGGGCGAAAGCCUGAUCCAGCAAUGCCGCGUGUGUGAAGAAGGCCUUCGGGUUGUAAAGCACUUUUGUCCGGAAAGAAAUCCUUGGCUCUAAUACAGUCGGGGGAUGACGGUACCGGAAGAAUAAGCACCGGCUAACUACGUGCCAGCAGCCGCGGUAAUACGUAGGGUGCGAGCGUUAAUCGGAAUUACUGGGCGUAAAGCGUGCGCAGGCGGUUUGCUAAGACCGAUGUGAAAUCCCCGGGCUCAACCUGGGAACUGCAUUGGUGACUGGCANGCUAGAGUAUGGCAGAGGGGGGUAGAAUUCCACGUGUAGCAGUGAAAUGCGUAGAGAUGUGGAGGAAUACCGAUGGCGAAGGCAGCCCCCUGGGCCAAUACUGACGCUCAUGCACGAAAGCGUGGGGAGCAAACAGGAUUAGAUAUCCUGGUAGUCCACGCCCUAAACGAUGUCAACUAGUUGUUGGGGAUUCAUUUCCUUAGUAACGUAGCUAACGCGUGAAGUUGACCGCCUGGGGAGUACGGUCGCAAGAUUAAAACUCAAAGGAGUUGACGGGGACCCGCACAAGCGGUGGAUGAUGUGGAUUAAUUCGAUGCAACGCGAAAAACCUUACCUACCCUUGACAUGGUCGGAAUCCCGCUGAGAGGUGGGAGUGCUCGAAAGAGAACCGGCGCACAGGUGCUGCAUGGCUGUCGUCAGCUCGUGUCGUGAGAUGUUGGGUUAAGUCCCGCAACGAGCGCAACCCUUGUCCUUAGUUGCUACGCAAGAGCACUCUAAGGAGACUGCCGGUGACAAACCGGAGGAAGGUGGGGAUGACGUCAAGUCCUCAUGGCCCUUAUGGGUAGGGCUUCACACGUCAUACAAUGGUCGGAACAGAGGGUUGCCAACCCGCGAGGGGGAGCUAAUCCCAGAAAACCGAUCGUAGUCCGGAUUGCACUCUGCAACUCGAGUGCAUGAAGCUGGAAUCGCUAGUAAUCGCGGAUCAGCAUGCCGCGGUGAAUACGUUCCCGGGUCUUGUACACACCGCCCGUCACACCAUGGGAGUGGGUUUUACCAGAAGUGGCUAGUCUAACCGCAAGGAGGACGGUCACCACGGUAGGAUUCAUGACUGGGGUGAAGUCGUAACAAGGUA